rnacentral:rRNA from 1 species
UACGGGGGGAGCAAGCGUUGUUCGGAUUUACUGGGCGUAAAGGGCGCGUAGGCGGCGUAACAAGUCACUUGUGAAAUCUCCGGGCUUAACCCGGAGCGGCCAAGUGAUACUGUUGUGCUAGAGUGCGGAAGGGGCUACUGGAAUUCUCGGUGUAGCGGUGAAAUGCGUAGAUAUCGAGAGGAACACCUGCGGUGAAGGCGGGUAGCUGGGCCGACACUGACGCUGAGGCGCGAAAGCCAGGGGAGCGAACGGG